UGGGGGAGGUCGGAUCCUAGGCUGUGUCCCCGGCGCCCUCUGCUCCCGGGCCUGCACCAUUGGAUUCACGCUCCCAGCCACGCUGCCCCCU
rnacentral:pre_miRNA from 1 species